UCCGGUUGAUCCUGCCAGAGGUUACUGCUAUCAGGGUUUGAUUAAGCCAUGCAAGUUAUGUGUUUUUUGUAAACACGGCGAACUGCUCAGUAACACGCGGAUAAUCUGCCCUCAGGUUUGGGAUAACCCCGGGAAACUGGGGAUAAUACCAAAUGUUUCAAAGUUGCUGGAAUGCUCUUUGAUUGAAAGCUUCGGUGCCUGAGGAUGAGUCUGCGGCCUAUCAGGUUGUAGUGGGUGUAAUGUACCUACUAGCCAGCGACGGGUACGGGUUGUGAGAGCAAGAGCCCGGAGAUGGAUUCUGAGACAUGAAUCCAGGCCCUACGGGGUGCAGCAGGCGCGAAACCUUUACAAUGCGCGAAAGCGCGAUAAGGAGACCCUGAGUGCUAGCACAUAGUGCUGGCUGUCCAGCUGUUUAAAAAGCAGUUGUUAGCAAGGGCCGGGCAAGACCGGUGCCAGCCGCCGCGGUAACACCGGCGGCCCGAGUGGUAACCGAUUUUAUUGGGCUUAAAGCGUUCGUAGCCGGUUUAGUAAGUUUCUUAGGAAAUCUAGCAGCUUAACUGUUAGACGUCUAAGAGAUACUGCUAUGACUUGGGACCGGGAGAGGUAGGAGGUACUCCAGGGGUAGGGGUGAAAUCUUGUAAUCCCUGGGGGACCAUCGAUGGCGAAGGCAUCCUACCAGAACGGGUUCGACGGUGAGGGACGAAAGCUGGGGGCACAAACCGGAUUAGAUACCCGGGUAGUCCCAGCUGUAAACGAUGCUCGCUAGGUGUCAGAUACGGUGCGUCCGUAUUUGGCGCCGUAGGGAAACCGUGAAGCGAGCCGCCUGGGAAGUACGGUCGCAAGGCUGAAACUUAAAGGAAUUGGCGGGGGAGCAC
rnacentral:rRNA from 1 species